CGGAAAAGAAGAACGGAGCAACGGCCUUUUUAUAGCUUUCUGAGUAGGCUUUCUUUUCCAUAGGUUAAUUUUUAUCUGAACAACCCAGAUAAGGAGACCGACGCCUUGUGAAGGUCAGGUACGCUGGUCCGGACCCUUUGAGACCCUGCCCUGUGCUCCAAACAGAUGAGACACUCGGUUGUGGAGACCGGCCUUGCCAAAUACCAGGGAGCAACUGUUUGCCACUGUGAGUGAGUAGGCUAAGCAUCUGGACCAAGGGAGGGUGGCCAAGGAGUCGGUCUACUGGACUCAGGUGAGAUCUGGGGCCUGCACUCUGUUAGCCCAGCCUUAGGGGCCUUUGGCAGGUAGGGGUUGACAGAAGCCUGGAGAAUCUUCAAAAAGCACCAAGAAGAUGGAUUUGGAGAUGUUGGGGACACUGAAUUGAGAGGUGACCUCAGCCCAGUUGUUGGACCCCAGGGUCUGGCUGUUUUCUCCACACCGAGAAGAUUCUGACUCUCCUGACUCAGAUGCACGGUAGACCCUAUGACCCGAUGGCCACCGAGUAGACACUGGGUUCUACAUGGUGGCUACUGCAUGGACAUCCUGUUCUAGGCAUGUCAGCAGGAUAACAUGGUCACAGCCAUCUGUCCAGAAGGACUGGGAGAGUCUGGAAGUUUCCCGGUACAAGGUACUAUGUCAUGUUUCGGGAGCUAGAAGUGCUGACUGGAUCUUACACCGUCUCAGCCACGCUGAGCAACACAGCUACACUGAGCAGUAUAGCCAAGCUGAGCGGUACAGCCAUGCCUGUUCUCUCCUGUAUCUCACCUGACCUUCAAACCUGCACAAAGAACUGUACAGAUAAGCAAUGUGUGUGCAGACAGCAAAUGCUUAAGAGGUUAUAAGAUGACACAGCCUGUGCUCUGUCCCCUGGCCUGCCCCACCCCGAGUGCCUUCCCUGCUGCUGAGAACUGCUUUCAUCAGUCUCUAAGGAAUGGUGCAGGAGAAUCAGCAAGACUCACUGGGCCAUGCCUGCCUCCCUGGCUGCAUCCUCGGCUACCUAGCCUUCCUCCCCAGACUCUACUGUGAAGAUGCCACAUCCUUGAGUCAUAGAAAAUGGAAGAACCAAGCUGGUGCUCUGCUGGGACCUUCGUCCUUCCUGGCUAGCUCUCCUGGUCCUAGGAGGUGCUCUGUGUGCCACUGGAGGAGAAAAGUGACCUUACAUUUCACCUACCUACGAACCCUGUUACAAUGACUAACCUGACAAGAUACAUGCCCACAGGUGGAAUAGUCGGAUGGAUGCUAUUCAAGUAACCAGCCACUUUCUGAUUGAAUCCAGGGCUUGAUAUAUAUAUAUAUAUGAGAUGGAACCCAUGCUUGGCACUGUUAAAGGGACAAAAACCUGUGGCUAGAUAGGCUGAAAUUUAUAUGUCCAAGCAAUUGUUUUAAAGU